rnacentral:rRNA from 1 species
ACUACGGGGGGCAGCAGUGAGGAAUAUUGGUCAAUGGGCGAGAGCCUGAACCAGCCAAGUCGCGUGAAGGAUGAAGGAUCUAUGGUUUGUAACCUUCUUUUAUAUGGGAAUACAGUGAGGAACGUGUUCCUUUUUGUAUGUACCAUAUGAAUCAGCAUCGGCUAACUCCGUGCCAGCAGCCGCGGUAAUACGGAGUAUGCGAUCGUUCUCCGGAUUUAUUGGGUUUAAAUGGUGCGUAGGUGGUUAAUUAAGUCAGCGGUGAAAGUUUGUGGCUUAACCCUACAAUUGCCGUUGAAACUGGUUGACUUGAGUAUAUUUGAGGUAGGCGGAAUGCGUGGUGUAGCGGUGAAAUGCAUAGAUAUCACGCAGAACUCCGAUUGCGAAGGCAGCGUACUAAACUAUAACUGACACUGAAGCACGAAAGCGUGGGGAUCAAACAGGAUUAGAUACCCUAGUAGUC